GGCACGCGGUUGGGAAAAGCUUGUUCACAGGAACUGUGGCGCCCGUGUUCGUGGGGACGCUCGACCGAUGCCCUGUGGCUGAAAAUAGUACCAGUGACACGGGAAGUUUGGAAGUCACCACGCCACAACCCAUGUUGACUAGCAGGGCCGAGGUCUUUCCACUGUAUCAACUCUCGUUCUUUUGGAGCUCAUUCAUCGGUGCCUUGCUUACAAUGCUGCUCGGAACAGCAGUAAGUGUCUUAAGAGGUGGAGCCGAAACGUGCAAAGACAAUCUCAGUCUCACAAGUCCGGUUUUUCUGAACUUGUGGAGGCGCUUCAAGUUUCUUGACAAGCUGAUUCAGGU
rnacentral:lncRNA from 1 species